GACGAACGCUGGCGGCGUGCUUAACACAUGCAAGUCGAGCGGAAAGGCCCUUCGGGGUACUCGAGCGGCGAACGGGUGAGUAACACGUGAGUAACCUGCCCCAGACUUUGGGAUAACCCUCGGAAACGGGGGCUAAUACCGGAUACGACACAGCUUCGCAUGGGGUCUGUGUGGAAAGUUUUUCGGUUUGGGAUGGGCUCGCGGCCUAUCAGCUUGUUGGUGGGGUGAUGGCCUACCAAGGCGACGACGGGUAGCCGGCCUGAGAGGGCGACCGGCCACACUGGGACUGAGACCCGGCCCCGACUCCUACGGGAGGCAGCAGUGGGGAAUAUUGCACAAUGGGCGGAAGCCUGAUGCAGCGACGCCGCGUGGGGGAUGACGGCCUUCGGGUUGUAAACCUCUUUCAGCAGGGACGAAGCGUAAGUGACGGUACCUGCAGAAGAAGCGCCGGCCAACUACGUG
rnacentral:rRNA from 1 species